CGAGCUCUGCCAUCUCUCUAAGUUAGAGAGAGAAACUUUCCUAGAGAGCUAAAGUUCGGUUUUUCUUCGAUCUUGAGCGUAGGAGACGGUGAUCUUCGGCUUUUAGCCGGAAAUCAUCGUCUCUUAGCUCGUUUUUUGCUAUGUUUGCGUUAAUUUUCGAAUAAAUUGCUCCGUUUCUUGGAGAAUUGUGUGUUUUUCUGGGUGUUUUUGUUCGGUUUCAGUUUUAUUUGUCCAUAUCCUUGGUUCGUUCAAGACUUUUCAGCGUUUGUUCAAACUUCAGCUUCACGUUCUUGAAGAUUCAAGGUUUUUUUUUCAUCGUUCGAAGUAUCUUAGCAGCGGAACAAGUGGUUAAUAGAAGUUAUGGGGUACGAUUGGUGCCAGGGAAUUCUUUACACUUGAAUUCAUCCUGUUUUUAGUCACCUGUUAAAUUUGUAUCUUUAAAUUUCUAUUGUUGUUUCGUUUCUUUUUGUAGGUCGAUUAUAGGGUUUUCAGAUGUUUUUUAUAUUUUUUUAAUUUGAUCUACGAUGUACUUCGACGGUA